UCAAGGUCGACCCGCGAGUCCUCUGGCGUAAUGUGUGGAAGUCUUCCCCUUAGGCUGGACGGCGGACACAGUCAAUGCCAGUACCCCAUGCCGCCCUUGGUCAGGGCAGGUGCCAGCUCAGCUCACUCUGAACGCCAGUCUCCUCUUCUCCGUGUACUCCAGCUUCCCCGGCCUGACCACACUCCCCUCCCCCCUGGCCGAGGCACCUCUGGCGCGGUUGCAGCCGCGGAGAACUCGAGGAGAACUGGCCGCCUCUCCUGGAAAUUACCUUCUAAUAAAAACCAAGAACGAGCGAAUACAACUAAUUACAGACGGUGGCUAGUACCGUGUAGGAAAUACACAGGGAGCUGUGGUAGAAACUAACAGGCCUCCUCAGGAUGUAUGACGUGUCACUUGACCCUCCUCUACUUGGCCUGGGCCCCAGGCAUACUUUUGCAAAGUUCUCUGACUCCUGGUUUGGAAUACUGUCCUCUGAUUAGCUCAGCACCAUUCUUCAGAUCUCUGCUCAAGUGUUAUGGAGUGUGUGACGCCUUUCUUGAUUUCCCCAGCCAGACUCCUUGUUGCUGCUUCUACUUUUUCUUACCCCUUAUACUAAGGGCCAUUAGAGCACAUAUCACUAUUUCAUUUGUUUGCAUAUCUGUAUAAGGAAAAGCCACAGUUCAGUAUUUCUCUUGAAUAGAGAAAAAUUCAGUCCUUUCCUUCUCCUGUGUUUCUCUCCCGCGUGUCUCCUUUACUUCUCAUGCAAAACACUUUACUUCUGACCCUUCUCGUCACCAAAUGUAUGUGGGGGACUUCUCACAUCAAGCAGGUCUUCGCAGCACCAGCUAAAGUCCUAUAAUUUCACUAAAUUCUAGCACAUUCUACCUACAGAUGUCAGGUCCCACAGGUUAUGGGCUCAGUCCCACAAGGCUGCUCCCCACCCACCUUCAACUUCAGAUGCCAGUUGCAAGUAAUAGGAUUCCCAGGUUACCCACAAUUUCUGUCCAAUUUGGCUAUUAAUGGGAGAUUCCUAUGCCCCCCCACCCCGGUUUGAUUAAUUUGUUAGAGUGACUCACAGAACUCAAGGAAACACAUUUAUCAGUUUAUUAAAAUAUAAAUAAAGGAUGUAGAUGAAUAGAUACAUAGGGCGAGGUCUGGGAGGGUCCUGAGUGCAGGAGCUUCUGUCCUUUGGAGUUGGAGGUUCACCACCCUCCUAGGGUGGAUGUGUUCGCCAAUGGAGUAGCUCCCCGAAUCCCAUCUUACUGGGAUUUUGUGGAGGCUUCAUAAUAUAGGCAUAAUCAGUCAUUAAUUCUACUUUCAGCCUUCUUCCAUCUCAAGAGAAUGGGGGAGGGGAAGGGCUGAAAAUUCCAAGUUUCUAAUCACAGCUUGGUCUUUCCAAUACCAGCUCUCAUCCAGGAGCCAUCCAGGACCCCACGGAGAAAAAAAGACACUAUUAUUAACCGAGGAAAUACAAGGGUUUCGGAAGUCCUAUGUCAGUAGCUCAAGUCAACGAUCAAAUAUUACAACAAAGGAAGUGCCUAGUGUUCUUAUCACUUAGGAAAUUACAAAGGUUUCAGGAGCCUUGCGUCAGGAGCCGGGGCAGAGACCAAUAUAUAUUUUUUCUAUUAUCUCUUAAUAUCUAUUUGGUAUCUUGAGGUCAGGGACCUGUCUUCUAUCAUUAUAUUGCCAGACCCUAGUGUAGCUCCUGGCCUGUAAUAGGUGCUCAAUAAAAGUUCGUGGCGUGAAUGAAAUAAUUGGUCAUACCACCAGUUAGGAGGCCACGUACCAUUUCAUGAAUGCCAGGAGUUCAUAUAAUAAAGUUAUUAAGGCUGAUGAACAAACAUCAAGUUAUCCAAGAAUAACAUUGCAAAUGAUCUGAAAGACUUUGCUCAUCAUAUUGCUUAAAUAACUCACAAGAUAAGAACUCCCUGUCUUUGUGAGGAUCUUAUAUUGCCUUUGGAAUCCAUGAUGGCCCAGGGAGAAAGUGUAUAUGUUGCAUAGUAGUGGCCAAGUGAUAGAGCCCCGCCCUCAGCCCUUGCUGUUUUCGGGGCUUAAUGAAUAGUUCCCUCCCUCAUGAGGGACUGAGGUUCUCUACCUUGAGGUGGAUGGACACCCAGAAAGUAGUUGAACUGCUUGCCUUUGUUUAAAAAGAAUGAAAAUGUUCUCACCAGCUUUCACUAAGUAGGAGUAUUGAAAAUGCACGUCGUGUGUCCCUGUUUGCUUUCACUCUACGAUACCCAAGUCUGCAUUUUGAAAUUAAACCUCAUGCCCUUUGUGCAAAAUCUAGUGCAUCAUCAAGGGUUUCGCACUCCUUGAGCACUAAGCUUGGCCAAGAAGGCACCCUUCUGGGUUUCCAAGGUCACCACUCAGUGUUGUGAGUCCUAGCUUCAGCCCCUUGCCUCCCUUAGCACCUUCUGAGAGACAGAAUGGUAGGGUCUGGAGGGACUUUUUACAUCUCAGCACAAGCCAUGGACGGACUGAAAUUAGCCUCCUGAUGGUUGAGCCCUUCUCUCAACAGUUUUUGUUUGUUUGCUUGCUUUUUUAAGUUUUAGGAGUUUCGUUACCACAGGGCCCUGGUCAGGACUGAUCUGGUCAAGCACACUAAGUCUCUCUAACUUUGCAUUUGGGGAAACAGUUUCCUUGGGCUUCUCAUGUAAAUUCAUCCAGCUCGCUUCAGCAGUGGCCUGGACCUCAGGGUGACACAGCCCAGAGUUGGCGGCACCCUGUCCCAGGAAGAUGGGUUUCCAUUCACGUUUCUUUUUUUUGCAUUCUGAAAUGGACCACCCACAUGAUUCCAGAUCAAAUAAGACAAGCUUCUCUUGAUGAGGGAAAAGAAAGAGAAAAAAAAGCGAGAGAGGAACCUUUAUUUAGUGAUUUAGCUAUUUCUUAAAAUCAUAUGAUCAUGAAUAUGAAAAAAAUCUCCAGAGUAAUAAGAUUCUCUUAAUUGAACUCAGAUUUUAAAUAAGAGAGCAUGGUUUCAAAAGAAAUAAGUGAAUAAAAAAAUGCAUGAAGUAAAAUAACAAACAUAGAUUCUGGAAAACACCUUCUGUGUUCACACAGAACCAGCUCUAAGCCUCUUCCUAUGGACACUGGCUUUCAGGUACUAGGUUAACCUGCUGGGCCAGAAAGUACAAAUUUCACCUGAGCCCCUGGAUUACAGAUGGCCUAAAAUAACAAAGAAUAACCAUUAAGAUAGACAGAAGCAGCAUUGCUUUGCUUCACCAUCAUACUCUUGACAAAGAUUAGAUUUUCCUUUAAAUCAGACAAUUUCCUAGUAUUUUCCUGGCUGCUUCUGACUGUGACUAUGCAGAAAGCAAAUGGCAUGCUCAACUCUGUUCAGGCCUUAAAACAGUCCUUCUAGCUGACCUCCAGUUCUACCUAGCCUUCUUAUUCAUCACAGUGAGGAUUCUUCAAAGAGUUUCUUAGACACCUCCACAUGUCUCUUUUCAUCCUAAAUCCCACUCACUUUGAUGGUUGUCUUAACUGUCACCAAGGUAAGUGUUGACGUGGGAAUGUCAAAUGGACUCUCCCUGCUUUAACUCUCCACUUCCUCUAACGCGAGCUGCUCUCCAUUGUCCAGCUUCUGCUCUUCUCCAUCUGCUUUUGUGCUUUUUUCCCUAGCAACCUUUUAGAAUGUUGGUUGCUAUUGCCUGGGCUUCUGUCAUCAGACGGAUGCCUUCCUGAUCAGGAAGCUCCACUGGGCUGAGUGCAUCCCUCUUCUGGCUUCUAGCUCCUGUAUCCCAUAGCUUUGUCUUUGUUUCUACUUGUGUCCUGGACAUCUUCACCUAAAUGUGUUACAAGCACUAUAAAGCGCUUUUGACUCAAACUAAUUCUUUAUUUGACCCCGAACCUAUCCUCUUCUCAUAUUCUCUGAGUUAAUUAUAUCAUCUUGUGUCUAAUUAUUUGAGUUAGAAUACUGAAACAUCGCUGGAACUCCAUUCUUUUCCUUGUCCCUUCCCCCUAAAUCCACUUGCACAUUAGAUCCUAUGGUUUCUGCUUCCUGAUUAGCUCCCUGCUUCACUGUUGCCACUACUUAGGCUUAGGCCCAAAUGGCCUAAAGCCAACUCCUAACUAACCAACCCCUGGGCACUUUCUUCUGCAUCCAAACCAUCCUAAAGGCUGAUGCUAAAGUCAGAAAAAAAGGGGAGGAGGAAGGGAGGGAGGAAGAGAGAGGAAGGGAAAGUAGGGAAAGGAGCGAAUGAAUGAAUCAGGUUAAUCCUCUAAUUAAAAUCUUACAAUGCUUCCCCAUUGCCUGACCAAUAAAUCCCAAACUCCUUAGACUGGCGUAAGAACUCUUUCCAGGCCAGCCCUAACUUGCCCAUUUAACUCUACUUAUUCUGUUAGAGAGACAUCACAUUCACAUAACUUUUAUUACAUAUAUUACCAUAAUUGUUCUAUUUUAUUAUUAGUUAAUGUCUUACUGUGCCUCAUUUAUAAAUUAUGCCUUAUCAUAGGCAUGUAUGUACAGCAAAAGACAUAAUAUGCAUAGGGUUUGGUACUAGACAGAUUCAGGCAUCCACUGGGGAUCUUGGAACAGAUCUCCCCACAAUUGAAUAUUGCAAACACAAUCUCUCUUUUGCAUCCAUCUGAACUGCUAAAAAAAAAAAAAAGGGGGAA